GUGGCUGUAGCUCAGCUGGUAGAGCUCUCGGUUGUGGUCCGAGUGGUCGCAGGUUCGAGCCCUGUCAGCCACCCA
rnacentral:tRNA from 1 species